rnacentral:rRNA from 1 species
UAAUACGAAGGGUGCAAGCGUUACUCGGAAUUACUGGGCGUAAAGCGUGCGUAGGCGGUUUGUUAAGUCUGUCGUGAAAGCCCCGGGCUCAACCUGGGAAUGGCGAUGGAUACUGGCGAGCUAGAGUACGGUAGAGGAGAGUGGAAUUCCCGGUGUAGCAGUGAAAUGCGUAGAGAUCGGGAGGAACAUCAGUUGCGAAGGCGGCUCUCUGGACCAGUGCUGACGCUGAGGCACGAAGGCGUGGGGAGCAAACAGG